CCAUCAUGAAUAAUUGGAAAAACUUAGCUUAUAAAAUUAUGUACUUUUGUUAAGUAUCUUGUGCAUCUAUAAUUAUUUUUAUGUAAAAUUUUGUGAUAUGCUCCGAUUGCUCCAGUCAUUCUGCAAAAAUACAAGCCAUCAAUUUUAAAAAAUAUUGUCCGACAGACAACAAAUCUUUAGUCCUCCUUGUAUCCUUAGUAAAGCA
rnacentral:lncRNA from 1 species